GCCGGCCGCGCAGCCGGGGCCGCCGGGCCGCUGCCACCGGUGCCGCCGCUGCGUCGGGCCAACGCGGCGAUGGGAUCGUCAUCCUCGGCCGGCGCC
rnacentral:tRNA from 1 species